CUGGCAGAGUCCUGGAGGGUUGUGGAGGACGCUGGAGCGGCUUAUCCUUCAGCCCUGGAUGACGAGCUGGCAGGACUAGGCAGGGUGGUGACUGGUGGUGCAUGUGCGAAGAUGCUUCCCGUCCCCCAGACCAGCUACUGUGUUCUUCCAGCAAUCAAAAGUUCCUCUCACCCAGUGGAACCAAUCAGAGCAUCGGCCUCUGAAACACCCGGGCCCCUGGGCUGCAGAGCCACACCAGAUGGAAGGGAGAGUGCGUACUCCUCUCCACCUGCGU